rnacentral:tRNA from 1 species
GGUGGGGUAUCCAAGAGGCUAAAGGACGUAGACUGUAAAUCUAUUAGGAGUUUCCUUUCGGGGGUUCGAAUCCCUCCCCCACCACCA